rnacentral:lncRNA from 1 species
GUCUUAUGUUCAAUUUUUACCCUAUUUUGCCAGAAAAUUCAACAGUGCAAACUGGCAAUGAAUAUUUAUUUUAAAAUACAACCACGGACUCCUAAGAACACCAAAGAACAAGAAUCACUUACAUGCCACUUCCAGAGACGCAUUUCGACUCACUGCUUCACCAAGAUAGUUCCUCGCAACACAAACGUAGCUUCCUUCAUCAGGUUUACUCCUGCGCCCGUGCACGAUGCGCAAGAAGAAUAAGGAUCCGCUGGGCAGAAGCAUCCUGUGGGACCGGGGAUCGUCCUUGUCAGUCUCCACUCGCUCCCCAUCUUUGUACCACUCAAUGGUGGGCGUUGGCCGGCCCUCCGCCUUGCAGUUCAGAGUCGUGGGCUCGCCCUUAGAGACGAUGACAUCGGAAGGAUGCUCCACAAUCCGCGGGGGAAAGUCCUCCUGGCGAAGACGCGAUCCUUGAAGAGAGAGGGCAUGUCUUUCCUUCUUUUCCUUCCUUCCUUUCUUCCUUCCUUCUUUCUUUCCUUCCUUCCUUCUUUCCUUCCACCGUUCCUUUGAACUUUUGGACUACAGCCAGAACUUAUAGAAGAGAUGACUGGAGUUCUCUUUGUUCUUGAGGUCUCCCCCUUCCAAGGUUUUCCUUUCCAGGGGGUCCGGGUCAGCUUGCUCAGAGUUGGUCCAGAGAGGAAGAGCAUCAAAACGAAGAGAAGUUCAAGCCUAG